AAAGAAACUGAGAGUUAGAAAGAGAAAGAACUAAAACAACUUCUUUCCUGAGAGACUGACAGAAGGGAGUUAACUGUCAUUUUCGAGAAAGACUUGAAGCAGCAUUUCCUGAGAACUGAAUAUGCUGUGGAGAAGCCAUACUAACUAGAAUUCUUGGGAGAUUUUUGACUGCCAUUCUGAGAGAAUAAAACGGUGGUGGGACUAUAUUUCCAACAGUUGAGGAGAAUUCACUUCUCUCUUUAAAAGAAAAUGAGUGGGGACCAUGCAAGAUACCAGCCUCCUUUUGACUAUGGGCUACUGCUGGAGGAAGAAGCCCCGCUAUCCCGGAAGAGCUCAAGAUGAGGAAAAGAUUAGACUGAAGAAGGAGCAGGAAAAGACUUUGAGCUGAAGAAAAGGAAAUUGUGAAGAAAGUAAAGAGAAAAAGACUUCAAAGAGAAAAACUCAGAGGAAAAGGAAGAAAAAGGCAGAGCUGAAAAAGGAAAAAAAGAGAAAGGGAGUUGAUUGGAUAGAAAAAAGAGAAUUGAGUGCCAGAAACAGGCCCAGAAUGGUGGUGUCAAUUGGAG
rnacentral:lncRNA from 1 species